UCUGGGCGUGUGAGCAGGACACACACACACUGCAUCCAUCCCUCCAUCCCCAGGGGUUCAAAGAGUGAACGCUCACUGCUGAGAGCUGAAAGUGGAAGAGAGGAAGGAGAGAAGGAGAGAAGGAGAGAAGGAGAGAAGGAGAGAAGGAGAGAAGGAGAGAAGGAGAGAAGGAGAGAAGGAGAGAAGGAGAGAAGGAGAGAAGGAGAGAAGGAGAGAAGGAAGGGCUGCUCAUGACACAACUGAGAAGCUCUCGGCUCCGUUCAGAUGUGCACAUGUGAUCAUGGGAACACUGCGGCUCCGAGGUUAAAUAUGGACACGGGCUCUUUCAACACUUCAACGGCACCUGAGGCUUCGACGAAAUGUAGAACAAGGAAAAAAAGGAAAAUAUUUGCAAGCUGGAGUUGAUUAACUAAUUUGUUAUUUAUAAAACACUAAUUCAAGCCAGGCAACCACGAUCAGAUGUACUGGCACACAUCUGAAGUCAUUGCUCUUAUGCACAAACCCCUAUGAUUUAGCAGUGCAGAAGAAGCCAUGCGGAGCAGCCUGCUGCUUUUCUGCACCCCCUGCAUUCCCUUUGGCCCAGGGAACACUCCGUCCAUCCCUGGAGAGCUGCUCCAGCAAUGCCUGAAGCGUUCACCUUGUAGAAGUUUCAGUGCUUCGAGCUAAACACUCCUCCCCGCAAUUCAAGGUGCCAUGUGUGUGCCAACAUCCAAAAUUAGUUAAAACGACCCUGCUUGGAAAGACAAAAACAUCUGUUUCUUUUCUGGUUUCUGUUCCAUUUACGCUUAGCUGGGGCCUUCUGUAGCAUCAUCCCAAAUACAGAAGAGAAACAGCUUGAUGGUGAGUAUCUCAUAGAUGACAAGAGAGGGACUGUGGGAUGUGCUUAGACCUGGGGCCAGAUUAUUAAAGAAGAAAAGUGUUCAUGAAGAUGCUGAAUUGAGUCUUUGAAAGACUAUGUGUUUUCUGGCUGCAAAGACCUUUGGCCAGACGUUCUCUAAGAGUCUCGCUGACAGUCUAGAACCUCGAUUUUACUUUAAGAUUCUCCAGUUUGGAGCUAAGCUGGCUGAGCUGUUGCCAGUAUUUUCCAACCCAGGUAAAGCAAAUUCUUGGCAGCAAAUGAAAAACAGAGGAGAGCAUGAAAGAUAGAGAGACAAGUAGUAACUAGAGUAGCUGUUUCUGUUACUGAAGUAGGGAAAGUUGGUGAAUGAUUCAUUAAAUAUAAUGAUUUGCAAGUCUCAGGGGCACAUGAAGGAAGCAAUUUCAGCUAUCACUGAAAGUAGGUUUUAUUUCUGAAAGCAUUUUGUUUAGUUUUAUAAUAUUACCGCAGACAUUUGUUUCCUUCUGUCUUUCUUUCUUUUAAUGCUCAGGUGGUGUUUAACCAGGGCCAUUCAUGGUGAGCAGUCUGGACUCUGUUCUCUGCCCCAAACAGGAGCAGGACAGAUAGUUAAAUUCUAAUUGAGGCUACAUCAGAAAUUAACUCAGUUUAUACCACAUCAUGUUACUGAUCAGAGCUGGAGGGAAUUUGGGUGACUACGGCUCAUUCACAUUUUUAGUGCACUAAGAAAGUCAUUUUACUCCCGGGUCUUUUAUUUCAUAAUGGAAAGAACAGCACAUUUGCAAAUUAUCAGACUGCUGAAGUCAAAUCUUUACCUAAACCAAACACUUCAAAGUGUGAAGUUAACAGACUCAUUAGAAAGAACCCCAUGUCUUGAAAACACUUGUGAAGCACUGACUGCAUCUUUUGUGGCCCAACUGGAGAUCAAAAAAUGUAAUUCCAGUGCCCUCCUGUGUCCCAAAUAAGAACAACACCGACCUUCACUGAAUGAAUGGAAAAUAAGACUUUUCCCGUGAUAGCCCUGAAGAAUUCUUCCAGUCACCAGCCUGGAUCUUUUAUAGGAAAGACAGAAGAAUCUUCCUAUCUAGUCUGCAUUUUAUCCAGAUGGUGAUCUCUCGCUUUGUUCAGGCAUGAAUUCUACCCAUGCAAAUCAAAGCAUCAAUCAUACAAUCAACUUUUGCAUUAGUUGCAAAGCUCGGGAGGAUAUUUGCUUCAUUAGACAAUUAGAAAAUGUGAGGUGUAACACCACGUCUGCAACACUUAACAGUCCGUUCAAUGCUGCAAAUGCCAGCGUGAUCCAUGCCUUCAUUUACCAACUGCACCAACUCAAUGUGAAAAGGCCAAUACCUCCCUCCUGUAACUACUGCUAAGUCCCAAAUCCAAUAUUCCUGAAAUGAAACACAAUGGGAAAUGACACCUCAAGUGGCACAGCAUUCAGAGGUCUCACUUGUAAAACUGCUUUUAACUGUCCUCAUCAUCUAUAAUUCACUUGAGUCCAUUUAUUGCUGCCACAUGCACUGAGAAAGAGCCUCAUGGACUAGCAGCAAAUUCAACUCUUCAGCUCAUGAAUGAACUGGUGCUGGAAGCCAGACUUUAUUAUUCAUUUUAGUAACUCAUUCAGUGGUCACAAUCCUCAAUGGAUGUAAACCAACACAGCCACAUUGAAAGAAAUUGUUUCACCUGCUUUUCACAUUUCAUGCACCAAAUGUUGGUCUCAUUAAUUUCAGUUGGAGAUCAUUGAUAUAUUUCAAGUCAUGAUGCCAAGAUCUUUCCCAACAGCUGGAUAUUGAAUCAUUUCUACAGAACUAUAUGGUCAUAAGGUUAUAUUUUUGGCCCCUUUCUAAUAUUGUUUUCUAGGUAAGCAAUUGCAUAUAGCAGCCCCAGGAAUGGUUUGGAGCUGUGAAAGGAAGCACAGAAUUCUGCUAAAUUUGAACAGCAAAAAAGCAUCUCCAGGGCAAUAAGUGUUUCAUGACACCAUUCACACCAUGAAUAUGCCCGAGCCCCCUUGUGCUAUCUGAUGGAAUCAUUACUAUGGAAAUAAAUGCUUUGUAGAAAUGUAUUGCGGAUAAAACGCUUAAUUUCAAUGCCAACAUACUGUGGGGUUUAUUAUGUUAUAUUGUUCCCAUUUACAAUGGAAAAUUAAACCAGUUUUAUAAUCAGUGAGAUACAGCAGAGCUCAGUUAAUUUCCUGAUAGAAAAACCAGCUUUGUUAUUGCUGCUAUUGUGGCAUUCUUCACCUAGCCGUAAGAGACAUUUCACUGCAAAAGACAAAAGGAUAAAGGAGAAGAUUACUGAAUACAUAACUACUCCAUAUUUACAACACAUGGAACAGUGAGGAAUCCCAGAAUGUCAGGGAUUGGAAGGGCCCUGGCAAGCUCAUGCAGUGCAAUCCCCCCAUGGAGCAGGAACACCCAGAUGAGGUUACACAGGAAGGUGUCCAGGCGGGUUGGAAUGUCUGCACAGAAGGAGACUCCACAACCCCCCUGGGCAGCCUGGGCCAGGCUCUGCCACCCUCACCAGGAACAAGUUUCUUCUCAAAUUUAAGUGGAACCUCCUGUGUUCCAAUUUGCACCCAUUACCCCUUGUCCUAUCACUGGUUGUCACCCAGAAGAGCCUGGCUCCAUCCUCCUGACACUCCCCCUUUAGAUAUCUGGAAACAUGGAUGAGUCCCCCCUCAGUCUCCUCUUGUCCAGCUCCAGAGCCCCAGCUCCCUCAGCCUUUCCUCACCCGGGAGAUGCUCCACUCCCUUCAGCAUCUUUGUUGCCCUGCGCUGGACUCUCUGCAGCAGUUCCCUGUCCUGCUGGAACUGAGGGGCCACAACUGGACACAAUAUUCCAGGUGUGGUCUCCCCAGGGCAGAGCAGAGGGGCAGGAGAACCUCUCUGACCUACUGACCACCCCCUUCUAACCCACCCCAGGUACCAUUGGCUUCCUGGCCACAAGGGCCCAGUGCUGGCUCAUGGUCACCCUGCUGUCCCCAGGACCCCCAGGUCCCUUUCCCCUACGCUGCUCUCUAAUAGGUCAUUCCCCAACUUAUACUGGAACCUGGGGUUGUUCCUACCCAGAUUCAAGACUCUACACUUGCCCUUGUUCUAUUUCAUUACAUUUUUCCCUGCCCAACUCUCCAGCCUGUCCAGGUCUCUGGAUGGCAGCACAGCCUCUGACGUGUCAGGAAAGCUGUGAUCAAAGUUUGUUUUAGCACUGAAAACAGAUAGAAAGGUGUUUUACCAACACUUGAGGAGCCGAGAGAUUAAGUGAGUAGAAAUGCUCAGACUAUCUUUAGAAAGAUAAGGAUUCCAGCAAAAUUCUUGCUGUAAGAGCAUGAACUGCAAGCAGUGUUAAUCAAUGAGGGACACAUUUUGCUCUAGGCAGUAGUUUAGUAUCUUAGACAAACUCUGCUUAUUGAUGCCAGCGCGAAUCCAGGUUGAGUUUUCCGAGGCCAGAACUCUCACCUGGAGCCACAACUGCAA